GCCUGCUGUCCUCUUAUUUUUGUCUGGCAGUGCAAGAGAGGCUGCCAUGGGUGUGCUAAGUUUCUGAUCUCUGUGAUCAUAGCAAGAUUGUCCUAAAUCAGACACAAGAGGGCAGAAGAAAAUGGAAAACAAAGACAAACAAACCAAAGAAGGAGGAUGAAGUAGAAGCCAUUCAUUCUUUCCAUGAACAUUGACCCUAUAUCCUGAAGGUGGAUCCAAUGAAAAAAAAGAGAAGCAGCAAGAGUGGUUUCCAUUUCCCUGGCUGGACUCUGAGUAAUAUAGCAGCAAUAAUUUCCCAAGGGAAAGGAGGAAGACGGGUUGGCUCCAGUGAAGACACUUAUGAUGUGAAGAGUUCCCGUAACAGUUCACCAUCUCUGGGGCAGUUAUACAACAGGGAUCCCUGACUUCUUCAGAACUGAGAGUUCAAAUCAGGACUAUCUGGUGAUGAAUCCAUCCACUAGAAGCUGAUAUGAAGAGUCAGGCCACUAGAAAACAGAAUAUCAUGUGAUCGUGUUUGACUGCACAACUGGUCUCUAUCAAUAUCUAUGCCUGAAGAGGAAGAAUGUUUGCCUAGUAAGAUUAGAAAGUGUGUGUAUAUAUGUGACCUUAUUCAUCUUCAAAACAGCAUUUUGAGGUUUGCAAGACUCUGCGGAUUAAUUGUGAGACUCAGAGAAGAAACCAACUAGACAGGCCAUUAAUAUUGGCAAAUCUUGUAUAGACACAAGUGGUUGUAAUUCUUACUACCGUUAAGACAGUAGAUGGAUGGCUUUGAAUUUGGGCCAAGUGAGCAAAGGCAGCCCCUCCCUCUCUACGUUCCAGCCAUUUUGCUCACUGUGAGGACUCAGCUGUGACACG